UACGUAGGGGGCAAGCGUUGUCCGGAUUUAUUGGGCGUAAAGAGCGUGUAGGCGGCCAGACAGGUCAGCUGUGAAAACUCGAGGCUCAACCUCGAGACGUCGGUUGAAACCGUCGUGGCUAGAGUCCGGAAGGGGCGAGUUGGAAAUUCCUGGUGUAGCGGUGAAUGACGCAGAUAUCAGGAGGAACACCAAUGGCGAAGGCAGCUCGCUGGGACGUGACUGACGCUGGAGAACGCGAAAGCCGUGGGGAGCAAACAGG
rnacentral:rRNA from 1 species